UUAGUGGUUUAGCCAUAUUCUUAAUGGUCAAUCCAUGAUGUAGAUAAUGUAAAUUAGUUUUUGUUUUUCUUUAGUGGUAGGAGGAUAAUCCUCCACGUUGCUUAAUGGUUUCCUAUUUUUAGGAGAUGGUUAUGUCUUGUGUUUAAGUGCAACAAGUUAAUAAAAGAGGGAUAAGAAAAAUUUCCAAAAAAAGUUUUUAAAUACUUUAAACUCAAGAGGUCCAUAUUCUCUCUAACGAAUCUGAAUAUUAUCUCCAACAUAGGUUGCCGAAAGAAAACAUUCUCAAAUCCUUCACAACCUUCGCCCAUCCAACCAAAUACCCCAACACAUAGACCCAUAACUAGAUCCGUGUCAAGAGACCAUAACAAAUUGUGCCUUGCACUUGAGCUUAAAGAUCUCUUGGCACCUCGGUGUGCUUUACGCAUUUUAAAGUUCUGUUAUUGUUGUUAGAGUUCUGCUAUCUAUUUUUGUUUUUAUAGUUGUGUUAUCUCUUUCUAUCUCCUUUCUAAUCUCCCACCUACAUCUCUCUUUGUGCCAAACUUGGAUUGGUUACUUCCUGUGGUGAAUGUGAACCCAACAGAAUUCUCCAACCCUGUCAAAGCUUCAGUUUUGUUCUUUUACCUGAAAAAUGUAAGAAUGAAGAAGAAUUUUAAGUCUAUAUCAUCCAGACCAAAAUGUCCACAUUUUCCAGCAUUUCCUAUGAUCAUAACAUUGAGCUAUUUGGAUUUGCUACCAUUGAUUUUUGCAAAUGGUAGUUUUUUACAUCGCGUGGAGGGUACAAUCAUGCUCCCCAGGAGGCCUGAAAGGCUGAAACUCUAUUUGCUCUCAGUCUUCUCUAGCAAUACCUCUGGCGGCCAUCAAGGGCGAGUAAGCAAGAGAGGAAGAGAGAGAAGGUAGGUUGGGUUGCUGGAAAAACUUGAGAGCAAGAGAGGAAGAGAGAGAAGGUAGGUUGGGUUGCUGGAAAAACUUGAGAGAAGAAG
rnacentral:lncRNA from 1 species